UACAGAGGAGCCAAGCGUUGUCCGGAUUGACUGGGCGUAAAGCGCACGCAGGCGGUCGCGCGCGUGAGGUGUGAAAUCUGGCCGCUUAACGGCCAGGCGCCAUCCCAUACGGCGCGACUGGAGUGAUGCAGAGGUCGGUGGAAUUGCCGGUGUAGUGGUGAAAUGCGUAGAUAUCAGGAGGAACACCGGUGGCGAAGGCGGG
rnacentral:rRNA from 1 species